GCCGCCUGCAUCUUCCACCCUGAACGCGCCCCAUCUCCGCUGAUCUGGCAGCUCAGCAGGGUCGGGCCUGGUUAGGGCUUGGAUGGGAGCCGGCUUGGGAGUACCGGGUGCCGGAGGCU
rfam:Myotis lucifugus cont2.50334, whole genome shotgun sequence.